rnacentral:rRNA from 1 species
GAGCGAAGCGACGUCAAAGCGUAUACAAAGUCGAGUCGGUUUAAGGAUACGUUCGUUGGGUAGGGGAGCGUUCUGUAAGCCUGUGAAGGUGGCCUGUGAGGGUUGCUGGAGGUAUCAGAAGUGCGAAUGCUGACAUAAGUAACGAUAAAGCGGGUGAAAAGCCCGCUCGCCGGAAGACCAAGGGUUCCUGUCCAACGUUAAUCGGGGCAGGGUGAGUCGACCCCUAAGGCGAGGCCGAAAGGCGUAGUCGAUGGGAAACAGGUUAAUAUUCCUGUACUUGGUGUUACUGCGAAGGGGGGACGGAGAAGGCUAUGUUGGCCGGGCGACGGUUGUCCCGGUUUAAGCGUGUAGGCUGGUUUUCCAGGCAAAUCCGGAAAAUCAAGGCUGAGGCGUGAUGACGAGGCACUACGGUGCUGAAGCAACAAAUGCCCUGCUUCCAGGAAAAGCCUCUAAGCAUCAGGUAACAUCAAAUCGUACCCCAAACCGACACAGGUGGUCAGGUAGAGAAUACCAAGGCGCUUGAGAGAACUCGGGUGAAGGAACUAGGCAAAAUGGUGCCGUAACUUCGGGAGAAGGCACGCUGACACGUAGGUGAAGUGAUUUACUCAUGGAGCUGAAGUCAGUCGAAGAUACCAGCUGGCUGCAACUGUUUAUUAAAAACACAGCACUGUGCAAACACGAAAGUGGACGUAUACGGUGUGACGCCUGCCCGGUGCCGGAAGGUUAAUUGAUGGGGUCAGCGCAAGCGAAGCUCCUGAUCGAAGCCCCGGUAAACGGCGGCCGUAACUAUAACGGUCCUAAGGUAGCGAAAUUCCUUGUCGGGUAAGUUCCGACCUGCACGAAUGGCGUAAUGAUGGCCAGGCUGUCUCCACCCGAGACUCAGUGAAAUUGAACUCGCUGUGAAGAUGCAGUGUACCCGCGGCAAGACGGAAAGACCCCGUGAACCUUUACUAUAGCUUGACACUGAACAUUGAGCCUUGAUGUGUAGGAUAGGUGGGAGGCUUUGAAGUGUGGACGCCAGUCUGCAUGGAGCCGACCUUGAAAUACCACCCUUUAAUGUUUGAUGUUCUAACGUGGACCCGUAAUCCGGGUUGCGGACAGUGUCUGGUGGGUAGUUUGACUGGGGCGGUCUCCUCCUAAAGAGUAACGGAGGAGCACGAAGGUUGGCUAAUCCUGGUCGGACAUCAGGAGGUUAGUGCAAUGGCAUAAGCCAGCUUGACUGCGAGCGUGACGGCGCGAGCAGGUGCGAAAGCAGGUCAUAGUGAUCCGGUGGUUCUGAAUGGAAGGGCCAUCGCUCAACGGAUAAAAGGUACUCCGGGGAUAACAGGCUGAUACCGCCCAAGAGUUCAUAUCGACGGCGGUGUUUGGCACCUCGAUGUCGGCUCAUCACAUCCUGGGGCUGAAGUAGGUCCCAAGGGUAUGGCUGUUCGCCAUUUAAAGUGGUACGCGAGCUGGGUUUAGAACGUCGUGAGACAGUUCGGUCCCUAUCUGCCGUGGGCGCUGGAGAACUGAGGGGGGCUGCUCCUAGUACGAGAGGACCGGAGUGGACGCAUCACUGGUGUUCGGGUUGUCAUGCCAAUGGCACUGCCCGGUAGCUAAAUGCGGAAGAGAUAAGUGCUGAAAGCAUCUAAGCACGAAACUUGCCCCGAG